ACUCCUGCGGGAGGCAGCAGUGGGGAAUAUUGGACAGUGGGCGCAAGCCUGAUCCAGCCAUGCCGCGUGAGUGAUGAAGGCCCUAGGGUUGUAAAGCUCUUUCACCGGUGAAGAUAAUGACGGUAACCGGAGAAGAAGCCCCGGCUAACUUCGUGCCAGCAGCCGCGGUAAUACGAAGGGGGCUAGCGUUGUUCGGAUUUACUGGGCGUAAAGCGCACGUAGGCGGACUAUUAAGUCAGGGGUGAAAUCCCGGGGCUCAACCCCGGAACUGCCUUUGAUACUGGUAGUCUUGAGUUCGAGAGAGGUGAGUGGAAUUCCGAGUGUAGAGGUGAAAUUCGUAGAUAUUCGGAGGAACACCAGUGGCGAAGGCGGCUCACUGGCUCGAUACUGACGCUGAGGUGCGAAAGCGUGGGGAGCAAACAGGAUUAGAAACCCCUGUAGUCCC
rnacentral:rRNA from 1 species